rnacentral:rRNA from 1 species
GACGAACGCUGGCGGCGUGCUUAACACAUGCAAGUCGAACGAUGAAGCUGGAGCUUGCUCCGGUGGAUUAGUGGCGAACGGGUGAGUAACACGUGAGCAAUCUGCCCUUGACUCUGGGAUAACUGCGGGAAACUGUAGCUAAUACCGGAUACGAGGAUCGAAGGCAUCUUCGGGUCUGGAAAGAAUUUCGGUCAAGGAUGAGCUCGCGGCCUAUCAGCUUGUUGGUGAGGUAAUGGCUCACCAAGGGGACGACGGGUAGCCGGACUGCGAGGGUGACCGGCCACACUGGGACUGAGACACGGCCCAGACUCCUACGGGAGGCAGCAGUGGGGAAUAUUGCACAAUGGGCGAAAGCCUGAUGCAGCAACGCCGCGUGAGGGAUGAAGGCCUUCGGGUUGUAAACCUCUUUUAGCAGGGAAGAAGCGAAAGUGACGGUACCUGCAGAAAAAGCACCGGCUAACUACGUGCCAGCAGCCGCGGUAA